UGACGUAAUUCAUCUUAAUGUUAGAUAUGGUAUGUAUCCCGCUGUCACUAGAGUUGAUGAUCCACUUCACUUUCACUUCUUCCCUUUUCCAGUCCUUGAAACCACAGGUGUGACACAUCUGGGUGGAUUUUAUACUUUGAAAUUUUUUCAUGAAUUUUUUUUUUUUGUGCUUGACUUUUAAAAAGAAAUCUUGUUUUUCUUCACUACGGGUAGGUAGUGUUUAUGGUUGUCAUCGUAAAAAAAUGGCAAAUUCUAGAAAAUUUUGCUUCGGAAGAUUGUGUCUUUCUGACAUGACAGUCUGAUCUAGACUAGGUUAACCUUAAACUUGUAAUCUUCACAUUGCAGUUGCCGGAUUUCAAAAACAUACCUUUAAACUACUGUGUAUAAUAUAAUUUAGUCUUUAGACUCUAGUAACAUGAUGUUUCAAAUAAUAUUUUGUUAGUGUUUUAAGGAAGGAUCUCAGUGUAACUCAGGCUAGUUUCAAAAUGCUGUCUCAUCUGACGUCUUGCUCUUGUGAUUAUUGCUAUAGCACAUUCUGAGUGGGAACAUGGGAUCGUUUACACUUGAGAAGAACUACUGAACAGCACGUGCCAGAGAUUGAGGUCCAGGUCAAACGUAGAAGGACAGCCUCACUGAGCAACCAAGAGUGUCACUUGUACCCAAGGCGUUCUCAGCAACAGCAAAUUCCUGUGGUGGAUUUCCAGGCAGAACUGAGACAGGCGUUCU
rnacentral:lncRNA from 1 species